rnacentral:tRNA from 1 species
GGAGUUGUAGCUCAGUUGUAGAGCACUUGCCUCAUACGCGUGAGGCAGAGUUCGAUUCCCAGCACCA